rnacentral:rRNA from 1 species
UACGUAGGGUGCGAGCGUUGCCCGGAUUUAUUGGGCGUAAAGGGCGCGUAGGCGGUGAGAUGCGUCCGUUGUGAAAUCGCCCGGCUCAACUGGGCGGGGUCAGCGGAUACGGUCUCACUUGAGCAAGCUAGGGGGCAAUGGAAUUCCCGGUGUAGCGGUGAAAUGCGUAGAGAUUUGGAGGAACACCAGUGGCGAAGGCGACUUUCUGGUCUGUAACUGACACUGAGGCGCGAAAGCGUGGGGAGCAAACAGG